CAAUAGCGUAUAUUAAAGUUGUUGCGGUUAAAAAGCUCGUAGUUGGAUUUCUGUUAGGGACGACCGGUCCGCACUAUGUGCGUGUAUCUGGCUCGGCCUUGGCAUCCUCCUGGGGAACGGUGCUGCGCUUGAUUGCGUGGUCCGGUAUUCAGGACUUUUACUUUGAGGAAAUUAGAGUGUUUACGGCAGGCAAUCGCCUUGAAUAUAUUAGCAUGGAAUAAUACUAUAGGACCUUGGUUCUAUUUUGUUGGUUUCUAGAACUAAGGUAAUGAUUAAUAGGGAUAAUUGGGGCAGUUCGUAUUAACGCUGUCAGAGGUGGAAUUCUUGGAGUUGCGUUAUCGUACGAACUACUGCGAAGCAUUGCCAAUGGAUGUUUUCUAUUGAUCAAGAACGAAAGUAUGGGGAUCGAAGAUGAUCAGAUACC
rnacentral:rRNA from 1 species